GUCCAAUUUACUGAUGAAAAAAAGUUAGAUGUACUUCUAGAGAUUGAGGACAAUGAUGAAAGUAAAUCAUCUAUUUUGAGAGUUUUGCAUAAAGAAAAAUACCACCCUAACAAAGUUCAGUUGGUUCAGAAGUUAAAUGAAGAUGAUCCUGAUAGAAGGAUUCAAGAAUAGUAAGGAGCGUGUUACAGGGAUGGUCUGUUUAAUAGAUCAGGACAAAACUCCAUAUGAACAUACAGG